AGCGAACGCUGGCGGCAGGCUUAACACAUGCAAGUCGAACGGGCGUAGCAAUACGUCAGUGGCAGACGGGUGAGUAACGCGUGGGAACGUACCUUUUGGUUCGGAACAACACAGGGAAACUUGUGCUAAUACCGGAUAAGCCCUUACGGGGAAAGAUUUAUCGCCGAAAGAUCGGCCCGCGUCUGAUUAGCUAGUUGGUGAGGUAACGGCUCACCAAGGCGACGAUCAGUAGCUGGUCUGAGAGGAUGAUCAGCCACAUUGGGACUGAGACACGGCCCAAACUCCUACGGGAGGCAGCAGUGAGGAAUAUUGGACAAUGGGCGAAAGCCUGAUCCAGCAAUACCAAGUGAGUGAGGAAGGCCAAUAGGUUGUAAAGCUCUUUCAUUAAGGAAGAAAUAAGACAGUACUU
rnacentral:rRNA from 1 species